UACGAAGGGUGCAAACGUUGCUCGGAAUCAUUGGGCGUAAAGCGCACGUAGGCGGCUUCGCAAGUCGGAUGUGAAAUCCCUCGGCUCAACCGAGGACGUGCAUCCGAAACUGCGGAGCUUGAGUACUGAAGAGGAUCGCGGAAUUCCCGGUGUAGAGGUGAAAUUCGUAGAUAUCGGGAGGAACACCAGUGGCGAAGGCGGCGAUCUGGGCAGUUACUGACGCUGAGGUGCGAAAGCGUGGGGAGCGAUCCGG
rnacentral:rRNA from 1 species